AACAGAGAGUAAUCUGACAUAACUCAGAACUCCUCUAAAGGGAAUAUAGGCAAUAAGAACUGAAGCUCUGACUGAUCCCUGAGAAUUGAAGAAAAUAAUGAGAGCUAACUCACAAAAGGAUCUCAACUAGAAGCCAGGCUAAACUGGGAAAUACCCCAGGAGUACUCACAAAUUUAUGGUGCCUAUCUUAUCAGCUCAGAUUGGACUCAGAAUUAAGGAGCUUCUGAUAAAUCACUUUGAAAUAUUCAUUUAUAAAUGGGAAUAAAACUUGGACAGAGAAAUACAAGAUGUUGGCAGC
rnacentral:lncRNA from 1 species